CAAAACAGCCACACCACCUUGUGACUGGCCAAUCCUGUCUGAUCUCAGAAGCUAAGCAAGGCCAUGUCUGGUUAGUCCUUGGACUGGAGACUGCUGAAAAUAAUAUGUGCUAUAGUGG
rnacentral:rRNA from 1 species